ACUGCUGAAGCAAGUGGCUGCUCGGCUCUGUUCAGCUUCCAUCAAAUCAAAGCGAUCCAAAAUCAUCGUUUUCUACUCAGUUGAAGGUGGCGUGCGGUGUCUCCUUCAUUUUGGACGUGGAGUGAGGUGUCCUGCCCUUUAGGAGCACCUAAACAAGAUGGCUUUAAGGAUGAGAGAAUGGCGAAAACGCCAAAGAGAACUCAAUCAACUUCUAUGUUAUUCUGACAGCGAUGAUGAACAUUGUGGCAUUAAAAAAAAGUGUGAACGUGCGCCUGGGACUCCGAAUAGUUGUAGCAGUGACAAUGUGCCUGGGACCCCACAUAGUUUCAUCAGUGACACUGUUCCUGGGACAUCAGAUAGUUUUGACUUUGACACUGAUGUGGACUAUUGGUCUACUGACUCAGAAAAGG